CCUACGGGAGGCUGCAGUGGGGAAUAUCGGACAAUGGGCGAAAGCCUGAUCCAGCCAUGCCGCGUGUGUGAAGAAGGCCUUCGGGUUGUAAAGCACUUUCAGUGGGGAAGAAAGCCUUGGGGCUAAUACCCACGAGGAAGGACAUCACCCACAGAAGAAGCACCGGCUAACUCCGUGCCAGCAGCCGCGGUAAUACGGAGGGUGCGAGCGUUAAUCGGAAUUACUGGGCGUAAAGCGCGCGUAGGCGGUCUGAUAAGCCGGUUGUGAAAGCCCCGGGCUCAACCUGGGAACGGCAUCCGGAACUGUCAGGCUAGAGUGCAGGAGAGGAAGGUAGAAUUCCUGGUGUAGCGGUGAAAUGCGUAGAGAUCGGGAGGAAUACCAGUGGCGAAGGCGGCCUUCUGGACUGACACUGACGCUGAGGUGCGAAAGCGUGGGUAGCAAACAGGAUUAGAUACCCGGGUAGUC
rnacentral:rRNA from 1 species